CGAACCGACUUACGUUGAAAAGUGAGCGGAUGAACUGAGGGUAGCGGAGAAAUUCCAAUCGAACUUGGAGAUAGCUGGUUCUCUCCGAAAUAGCUUUAGGGCUAGCCUCAAGUGAUGAUUAUUGGAGGUAGAGCACUGUUUGGACGAGGGGCCCCUCUCGGGUUACCGAAUUCAGACAAACUCCGAAUGCCAAAUAAUUUAACUUGGGAGUCAGAAUGUGGGUGAUAAGGUCCAUAUUCGAAAGGGAAACAGCCCAGACCACCAGCUAAGGUCCCAAAAUAUAUGUUAAGUGGAAAAGGAUGUGGCGUUGCCCAGACAACUAGGAUGUUGGCUUAGAAGCAGCCAUCAUUUAAAGAGUGCGUAAUAGCUCACUAGUCGAGUGACACUGCGCCGAAAAUGUACCGGGGCUAAACAUAUUACCGAAGCUGUGGAUUGUCCUUUGGACAAUGGUAGGAGAGCGUUCUAAGGGCGUUGAAGCAUGAUCGCAAGGACAUGUGGAGCGCUUAGAAGUGAGAAUGCCGGUGUGAGUA
rnacentral:rRNA from 1 species